rnacentral:miRNA from 1 species
UUGGUGCAAAAGUAAUUGCGGUUUUUGUCAUUACUUUUAAAUGCCACAACCACAAUUACUUUUGCACCAACCUAAUA